rnacentral:rRNA from 1 species
UACGUAGGGUGCGAGCGUUAAUCGGAAUUACUGGGCGUAAAGCGUGCGCAGGCGGUUCGUUGUGUCGGCGGUGAAAGCCCCGGGCUUAACCUGGGAGUGGCCGUUGAAACUGGCGAACUGGAGUGUGGCAGAGGGGGGUGGAAUUCCGCGUGUAGCAGUGAAAUGCGUAGAGAUGCGGAGGAACACCGAUGGCGAAGGCAGCCCCCUGGGCUGACACUGACGCUCAGGCACGAAAGCGUGGGGAGCAAACAGG